AGUUUUAUAGUUUAAUAAAAAUAUUAAUUUUGUAAAUUAAAGAUAAUUUAUUUCACUAAUUUAAAACUA
rnacentral:tRNA from 1 species